UUGGAACUUAAUGAGCUCUUUGAUUCUGAGAUCUCACAUCUUUCUUCAGUUCUGAAAAAUUCACCGUCUUUGUUUUCUCAUCCCUGUAUUCUCACUAGUCUUUUUUUCUAAAACUGCUAUGAAACAUUAUGCCAAAGCUUCUCAGUCUAUCCUCCAUCUGUCUUAGCUUCUUUUUUAUAUUUCUUUUAUCACUGUGGUGCAUUCUGGGUGAUUCCUCAGUUGUUUUCCAGACCUGCUAAAUUUUUAUGUCAUCUGCCUCCAGUCUAGGGCUUAUACCAUACAUAGAGUAUAUUUCAAUAAUUGUAUUUUUACAUUUCCAGCAUGUAUAAUUUGUAAAAUCUUAUUUGCUUCUUUUCAGUCAGUUUCUCAUUGCAAGACUGAAUAUCUUUAGCUCUUUGGUGAUUGCACAUAUAUAUUUUUUAAAGUAUUUUUUUAGAUUGCUUGCAUGUCAUCCUGUUUUUGUUUGCAACUUACAUUUUUCCUGCCUGUGUACCUCUCAGAGUCUGGUUCUGGUCCCUUGACGUUCCUAGGUUACACUUGGUUACCUGUCCCACGUGGACUUUGAAGUCCCAGCACCUACCAUCCUGAACUAGUCUCUACUUCUCUCAAGCUGUAUAGCCUCAGCCUCUGCUAAUGGCUGUAUUAUUCUCUCCAUUCUUUGUCAAAGAAGAUUUCCUUUAUUUUGAGUUUGACAGUUUUUGCUUUCUUUUUUUUUUUUUUUUUUUUUUUUUUGAGAUGGAGUCUUGCUCUGUUGCCCAGGCUGGAGUGCAAUGGCAAGAUCUCAGCUCACUGCAACCUCUGCCUCCUGGGUUCAAGUGAUUCUCGUGCCUCAGCCUCCCAAGUAGCUGGGAUUACAGGCGCCCACCACCACACCCGGCUAAUUUUUGUAUUUUUUAGUAGAGAUGGGGUUUCGCCAUGGUGGUCUGGCUGGUCUGGAACUCCUGACCUCAGGUGAUCUGCCUGCCUCGGCCUCCCAAAGUGCUGGGCUGUGCCCGGCCUGUUUUUACAUUUUUAGUAUUUAUUUAGCAAUCUCUGGCAUUAGGAGUUGAGAGGGCAGAAUUAUAGGUGUGCUUGCGCCUCUAGUUGGAAUGCAAGUCUCUAGGUAUGUUAGUCUGUGCUGUUAUGACAAAAAUACCUGAGACUGGGUAAUUUAUAAAGAACAGAAAUUCGUUUUCUCACAGUUCUAGAAGCAGGAAGUCCAAGAUGAAGGUGCUGGCAGGUUCGGUGUCUAGCGAGGGCUGCUUUUUGCUUCCAAGGUGGUCACUGCAUCCUCACACAGUAAAAAAGGCAGGCUGUGUGAAGCCUCUUUCAUUAGGGCCUUAAUCCUAUUCACGAGGGAGAAGCUCUCAUGACCUAAUCACCUUCUAAAGGCCCCACCUCUUAAUAUGCUGCAUUGGAGGUUAAGUUUCAGUAUGAAUUUGAGAGGGACACAAAUAUUCAAACUUGCGGGAGGCAUGCUGACUGGGAAACCCCAGUCCUUCCUACUCCACUGAGGGGCCUUCUCUAGGUCUCCACACUCAAUGCUGUGUCUCAAAUCUUCAACUCUGUCACAUUCAGAAUGACAGAGUCCGCAUCUCCAACCCCACUUUGGUUUCCUGUGCCCAGACUACCUAACUACAUGGAUUUUUAGUUCAGGUUUAUUCUCAACUAGGGAGGUCCAAAGUCAGGAGCCAGAAUGUCAGGAGUCAGGAGCCAACUGCAGACCCAGCUGGUCCUGGGUACUGUUACCAUCUGAAUUGAUUUCUCACUGACCCUAAGUAAAAUUGAGGGUUGUUGCGAAGGAUCUGGUCUCUGUCUUAUCUCUUCUCACUAUGAGAAUGAGAAUGAGAAUGAGCCCUUGAAGUGUUUGUCCUUCACACACUUUUUUGUUAGGGAAGAACAAAGAUUUUGUUCAGAGAUCUCUAUUGUGGAUGGUAAGCCUCAUUCCCACCAUCCUAGACUGAUUUUCCCCCUCCGUGAGUGCACAGAUGCCCCAGUGACAGAGCAAGGUAAGCAAGUCAGGUUCAGGUCAAAUUAAAGAUGCUGCUCUCUCUGCACAAGUGGUCGAGGUUUUAUGUUUUACCUACCCUGAGGCAAGCCAUAUGAGGACACUGUCUGGGCUGGCUCGCCCUGCAUGGGAGGACCAGCUCUUAAGUGGUUCAACUGGAGCCUUUCUCUCUGUGGUUCCAACUGGCCAUACAGCCCUUCCUUCUUCAUGAAAGCUGGAUGGUUCCAAGUAAAUGUAGGAAUAGAAUCCGAUCCGUCUCCAGUGGUUGAAAUGGCUUCUGUCAUGUCCUGGUUCAUUUUGAUGGUAACCCUCAGAACUGUGAGGCUGGCCGGGCGCAGUGGCUCACGCCUGUAAU
rnacentral:lncRNA from 10 species